UAUAACGAGAUACAGAGGCGAUUUCAGACUCGAUCUUGUCCAGGAAAUUGCGGACUCGAUCCAAGCUCAUCCAUCAACAGUUUCUUCAAAUCUAAAAAUUGUUAAUUGGAAGGCUUAAUUUCGGACUCCAGGCUCAACAACAGAGCGGCGUGCUAAUUAAUCCUUUAGAGUUUCUCCAAAUCUAAAAAUCGUGAAUGAAAAGAGCUUGUUGUUUAAAAGGAUGAUAUAAGUCGUGUGCAACUGAAAAUGAUUAGAACUUGUGUUCGUUGAAAUCAAGCUGUCGAAGAGAUGGGGUUGGUUACAGUGAUUGCUAGAAAAGUUGAAUGCACAAAAGGAAGCUAUGGAACAAGAUAUUAUGAUGAACGUUGUUACAUGACUUCAACGUCUCAACCCCGAUUUGAAGACUUGAUCUGACAUGCUAAUAUUCAGUGCUCUUGCACCUGGUGAAGCUUCUUCUACACAAUAAGCUGCUAUUCAACAAAUCAAUCGUCCAUCCGCUGGCAGUAACAAUCAAGGUAGAGUAGAUGAAGAAAUGGAAGACAGAGGCAGUGAUGAAGAUCUAGACCUAUUUAAGAGAAUUUUGAAUUGUUGAUUGUUGUAGAUGCAUGUGGCGGUUUCUAGGAAUGUUUGUUAUCAAAACAUUUUAAAAUUUUUAACUCUUGAAAUAUCAAAUGUAUGUACUUGGUAACAAUUAUCUAUGGAUUUAUUAUUAUAGCUUGUUGGAUAAUUUGGAUUAAAAA